UAUUGAAGUACGCUGCCCUUUGUAGGCGUGCAUUUAAAUAAUGUAUCAUUUGAUGAUUCGCUUCCACUCAGCACUAAGGCAGUAGCUAUCCGAACGGAUCCGAACGGAUAGCAACCGCCUCACCCAAACUGGAACUCACUUUACCAAUGACGGUGUGAUUGAUAGGAGUCAACCUUCCACAAGUGCCAGUGUGUACGAGCAUGCAGCAGCACACUGCGCGUUCCUCGGCCGAGCGCGAGAAUAAUCGAACGCCUUCUCCUUGCAGCGUCGGCCAAAAGGGGCAUGAACAACUCAAUCAUGUUUCUUCAUCUCCUCUCACGAAAAACGAUCAGUCAACGGCAACCGGGCCGAGCUCAUCAAAGCUCGCCAACUCCCCGAAACCCGGUUUAACCAUGGGCGGCCGUUGUCCGCACCCAGGUCCAGACUUUCAGGGGCACAGGCCCCGCCACUCUGACGAAGUCGUCAUGUACGUAUGUUGAACGUCUUUCGCACCGUACAUAGCCAACCAUGCUGAUCGGAGGUGCGGGGAAAGGACAACAAACUAAACACAAAAAGCAGUUGUGAAGAACGUGAGUUUCCAAUCUAUGAGCCCCACGUGCCGCCGGGCCACUUGGCCAUCGGGAAUCCAAAAGAAAUCUCUUUACGAGGGGCCUGGAUCGGGAACGAGCCGGCUGACGGCUCGUUUACAAGGGGGACAAGCGUCUGUCCCUCUGACCAUCUUUCCGCGGGACCACAACAUUAAUCUGCACGCGGAGCCCCGCACGCAGGGAUGGCGCCGGCGUUAUUGAGCGUCCGCUCUCAAGCACGCAAGCUGCGUCGCUCCGCGUACGUCUUGCGUACAAGUGCACCCCGCUCCGUUUGGCGAAGGGCGCAUCACUUAUUGCUGCGCGUGCUUCGCGGAAGCACGUGGUGUUGCGGAAUGCCCCGAUCGUGCGAAGUGAACCGAAGUCGCCGAGUUUGUGUUCACGCCACGCACAGCUCACAAACACAGCUGCACACGCACUCACAAACACAAAUAUCCCCUGUACGGUCUUGCAGGUGAUAGGCAUGUGCGGCCAGUACCGUGCCCAGCCACAUUUCUCUCCCAAGUGCCGAGUUUCACAUUCCGUAGAAUGUGCCGAUUAAGGCUGAGUCGCCCUAGGAGGACAGACACCACACACCACUGUCAAUGCACACCCUGGCUGCGAAUGGAACUCGAGGGUGCCGGUAUCGUAGUGCAGUGCGCACAACUCCCGCACGACCGUGCCCCCAAAAGCAACAACAACCAACACAGCUCUCAGCAUGAAAUUGUGCCGAUGCCAACACAGCGCUCAUGCCAGGCGAGGUGCACUUUCAGGACGCGUGGAGUGGCGAAGACUCAUUGGCAAGAUGCUGUGGAACGGACCCAAAUGUUACGGGUGAUGUAACCUGCGUGACUUAGCUACUCUGAAACGUGAACGCAUACCCACACGUGUGAUCAAGCAUACACUCAAAGUCCACCACACAGGGGGGUCUACUACAAACCUAUUUUCUGUAUUUCAUGCUCCAGGUACCGCCUCAUAGACAUGCAGGUGGGCAUCUCGCACACUCUACACAGCUCCAUCCCCCACAUGAUCCACCAACUCCACUUUCACACCACGUGACGACGGGCAUGCGAAAUAGUCCGCACAUUGACCUAACAUUGCUGAUCGUGCCAACGAUUCAACGUGUGAUAACCUCUCGGAUGGAGAUCCCGGAAUCCGAAUCUUUUAUUUAUGCUGGAGAAAUUCGAUCAGCUACGUCCAGUUUCACAGAUGGGCCAAUCUGCUCAACCCAUCAUACCUCGAGGGCUGACAAAAUGAGCACCGAUUUUUCGAAAAUCUGACAUUGAUUGGAUCGUCAGAGUUGACUAUUGGGUGAGAAUCAGAAUAUUUAUUUAUCCUGGCGAAAUCCGAUGAGCUAUCAAGCUCUUCUUUACAGAUGUCCAAUAGGGGCGGGUCAGGGUUAGGUCACGCAAUGGCAUUGCAUGGCCUAACGUGACAAUCAACCACGAAUCAUCAUAUCGGCUGUGAAUACCUGCACAUUCAAUGACAGUGGUCAUCCUAUGGAUAGACGUAUCCCCAACCAUAACACUGUGGAAUUGUCUCCACUGGUUCAGUCAAAUCUGUAACAGGACACGGGUACCUCCACCACGCUUGUUUGGCCAGGAAACCACUUUCGACUUCUUCCUUUUUGCCAGUCCGAGAUGUCGGGUUUUUUUAAUACAAUCUGAUCCUGAUCAUUGUAGUCCUGAGCGCACAAUUACAACAUUCCCUCCCUCCACGGCAAAAGCAUUUCACCACGCCGCAAUGGAGCCGGGGUUAAGACCAAUAGACAGAUCUGCACUCACGCGCGCGCUUACACGCGUGCACGCGCGCACACAUAUAUAUUUUCUCCGGGCGACAUCAAGAAAAGCACAAGGCGACAUUAACACGCCAGGUCUCAGGGACCACGCGUCGCGCCAAUAAUUCACCGUACACACCACUUGUAGGCCACAAUAAAGGUUGAUGAAUCACAUCAUCAAAUCUCACAGCGUGAUAUUUUAUUCAUUCUACAAAAUAUCCCACUAAACUCCUCGCAGCCUGCGCCCGUGAUUGAUUGUGCCUCCCGCGCGCCGAGUGGGAGACUGAAACCAGUACAUGAGCGCGGAGAGAGAGAGAGAGAGAGGGAGACGGAGAGGCGGGGCGAGCGGGAAAGAAGACUCCCGUCCGCGUGCGGCACGGUUUUAUUUUGCUCCGCGGGGAAAGUCGCAGCGUGGCGUUUCCCCCGAUUAGACGGGUGCGCGAUGAUUGUGCCGGAUAGAGUCACCGGAUUUUUCAGCGUUGUAGCUCCUGAGAGGCCACGGAACAAACUCCGCAGGAUCUCCCUCCAAUGUCUCUUGGCUUAGCGCACGCCAUGAGGCGGCGUGGCUUCGUGCCGAGCGAACGCCGCCGCACCUGCGUUCACCGGCGCAGCUCGACGUGGGUCACGAGGCAGGCGAGGGCAGCGCCCUGCGGACGCCAAAUAACCUGGAGCAGUCACGCGGCCUGUCUUGUCGCGAGUCAAACGCAGGGGGCGGUGCCUCCGCAACCAAAACGCGAGCCGGCUUGAAAAAAAAA